AUGUGCAGCCAUGUCACCCUGCAACUUUCAAUUGGCAACCCACUGAAGCUAAGCGGGUGUGAGCCUGGUCAGUACCUGGAUGGGAGACCUCCUGGGAAAAACUAAGGUUGCUGCUGGAA
rnacentral:rRNA from 1 species